rnacentral:lncRNA from 1 species
ACUCUUGUAACUGCAAGUGGCGACACUCGUCUUCCACCCCUACCCUCUUCCUAAUUGCUUCGCCCUUCCUCUCGCCAGCCUCUGGGGGAACCUUCAGCAACCGCUCUCCACUCAGUUCUGGCUACUCUCCGGAGGAGACCCGGGAGCCUAGAUCCCAAGGGCAGAAAGGCCCCCUGCUACGUGGAGGCUAAUUGUUGCCUAAGGAAAGAACACCCCAGUUUUUGCCAGUUGGUUUGUGAUUCUGAAGACACAGUGGCAGCUACCUGCAGCCUGGGACCUGGGGCCAGGGCCAGAUGAUCUCUUCCAUUACUGAAUUCAUCCUGAUGUUCUGAGGGCAUACUACAGGUUGAAUCUAAUGGCUUCUGAGGGCUCUUCACAAUUUAAAAUUCGGUGCUGCAAAGAAUACGCCCACUUUUAGAGACUUGGUUCCUGUUCUGAGCUAUAGAACUGCUUUGCUUGAUAUAUAAACUUCUAACUUAAGACUACUCUGGUCUGGAAGGCUUGUUCUGGUCCUUAAGGGUUUCUAUGAUCUUUCUCUUCUUCUGCUUUAAGAAAAUAACUUCACAAUAUUAUGUUUGCUUCCCAUGAUCAAUCAACUUGAAUGGAUUUACUCAUUGUGAGAAGAAAUAUUUGUAUGUUAGUUAAGGUCCUCAGACAAUCUCUAAUGAUUAUAUUACUUGAUCAAAAAACAUUAAAACUAUCUUUUCUGUUCAUAUGG